rnacentral:lncRNA from 1 species
CACCCAGUAGGUAGCAGAGCCGGGAUCUGAACCCUUCCUUGUCUAACUUCAAAUUCCACCAGGCCCCGACAUUCUCCAGCUUCCAUGGUGUUCCUGCAAUCCAAGUGCUGCUGACCUCUCUACAGGGCUGGAAGAAAGCUGUGCUUCUGACUCCAGGAAGUGCUACAGUGUUGCUG